rnacentral:lncRNA from 1 species
CUGCUCAGACAUCGCCACAGCUGGGCUCUCAGGGAGCAUGGCCAGCCACCCCAGAAAGCCAUUCAGACCUGCAGCCAGGGCUGGAACACAGCCACCUGGGCCUGGGAUGUGCUGGGACCCAGAGGGGCACAAGCAAGGGGGUCCCCAGAGGAGGGAGCUGACACUAUAGGGGCUGGGCCUGGACGCUGGGAUCUGCCAGACCCAUCUCAGUGCCACGACCUCUGAACCCAAGUGAGUCACUCCCAGCAGGGGCGUGGCCACUCCCACACUAGGAGAGAGCGCCUGGGAG